UGCCAUCAUUCAGUUGGGCACUCUGGAAGAACUGCCGGUGAUAAGCCGGAGGAAGGUGUGGAUGACGUCAAGUCCUCAUGGCCCUUACGGGUUGGGCUACACACGUGCUACAAUGGUGGUGACAAUGGGUUAAUCCCCAAAAGCCAUCUCAGUUCGGAUUGGGGUCUGCAACUCGACCCCAUGAAGUCGGAAUCGCUAGUAAUCGCGUAACAGCAUGACGCGGUGAAUACGUUCCCGGGCCUUGUACACACCGCCCGUCACACCAUGGGAAUUGGGUCUACCCGACGACGGUGCGCCAACCUCGCAAGAGGAAGCAGCCGGCCACGGUAGGCUCAGUGACUGGGGUG
rnacentral:rRNA from 1 species